rnacentral:rRNA from 1 species
CUCGAGGCCAGAUCUUUCCGGUUGAUCCUGCCGGAACCGACCGCUAUCGGGGUAGGGCUAAGCCAUGGGAGUCGAACGCCCCGCCGCUGCGGGGCGUGGCGGACGGCUGAGUAACACGUGGCUAACCUACCCUCGGGACGGGGAUAACCCCUCGGGAAACUGGGGCUAAUCCCCGAUAGGCGGGGGGUGCCUGGAAGGGUCCUCCGCCGAAAGGGGCUGCGGGGGGUUAUCGCCCGCGGUCCGCCCGAGGAUGGGGCUGCGGCCCAUCACGGUAGUUGGCGGGGUAAUGGCCCGCCAAGCCUACGACGGGUAGGGGCCGUGAGAGCGGGAGCCCCCAGAUGGGCACUGAGACAAGGGCCCAGGCCCUACGGGGCGCACCAGGCGCGAAAACUCCGCAAUGCGGGCAACCGUGACGGGGCUACCCCGAGUGCCCCCCUUGGGGGGGCUUUUCCCCGCUGUAAGUAGGCGGGGGAAUAAGCGGGGGGCAAGACUGGUGUCAGCCGCCGCGGUAAUACCAGCCCCGCGAGCGGUCGGGGUGUUUACUGGGCCUAAAGCGCCCGUAGCCGGCUCGACAAGUCCCCGCCUAAA